GAUUUCUGGUUUGACGUACCUGUCCCAUGACGGUAACGUCAUUGUGUGACGGUGUAUGUCUGCCAUCCUUCUAGAGAGUGUAAGCUGCCCUUUACUGGGUUGGUUUAUAUCAUCUAGAUCUUUUACUUUGAAAAAAUUAGAGUGUUUCAAGCAGGCGUUACAGCUAUGAAUACAUUAGCAUGGAAUAAUAAGCUAGGACUUCGGUUCUAUUUUGUUGGUUUCUAGGACUGAAGUAAUGAUUGAUAGGGACAGUUGGGGGUGCUAGUAUUCAGCGGCCAGAGGUGAAAUUCUUGGAUUCGCUGAAGACUAACUUAUGCGAAAGCAUU
rnacentral:rRNA from 2 species